rnacentral:rRNA from 1 species
UACAGAGGGCGCAAGCGUUAAUCGGACUUACUGGGCGUAAAGGGUGCGUAGGCGGGAGCUUAAGUUAGUUGUGAAAGGCCCGGGCUUAACCUUGGAAUUGCAAUUAAGACUGGGCAUCUAGGGUUGAGUAGAGGGGAGCGGAAGUUCCGGUGGAGCGGUGAAAUGCGUAGAUAUCGGAAGGAACACCUGUUGCGAAUGCGGCUCUCUGGACUCAAACUGACGCUGAGGCUCGAAAGCGUGGGUAGCGAACAGC